rnacentral:rRNA from 1 species
UAAACAACUCUCUGCAACGGAUAUCUCGGCUCACGCAUCGAUGAAAAAAGUAGCAAAAUGCGAUACUUGUGGUGAAUUGUGCAAUCCCGUGAACCAUCUAGUUUUUGAACGCAAGUUGUGCCCCAAACCUUUUGGGCGAGGGGACGUCUGCCUGGGGGUCACGC